rfam:Aedes albopictus isolate Foshan contig72350, whole genome shotgun sequence.
UGUUCUGUAGCUUAGUUGGUUAAAACGCCAGACUAGCAAUACGGAGACGUGGGUUCGAAUCCUACCAAAACAA